AACCUCCGCAAUGUGAGAAAUCGCGACGGGGGGAUCCCAAGUGCCAUUCUUAACGGGAUGGCUUUUCAUUAGUGUAAAGAGCUUUUGGAAUAAGAGCUGGGCAAGACCGGUGCCAGCCGCCGCGGUAACACCGGCAGCUCUAGUGGUAACAAUUUUUAUUGGGCCUAAAGCGUCCGUAGCCGGUUUAAUAAGUCUCUGGUGAAAUCCUGUAGCUUAACUGUGGGAAUUGCUGGAGAUACUAUUAGACUUGAGACCGGGAGAGGUUAGAGGUACUCCCAGGGUAGAGGUGAAAUUCUGUAAUCCUGGGAGGACCGCCUGUUGCGAAGGCGUCUAACUGGAACGGUUCUGACGGUGAGGGACGAAAGUUAGGGGCGCGAACCGGAUUAGAUACCCGGGUAGUCCUAACUGUAACGAUGCGGACUUGGUGUUGGGGUGGCUUUGAGCUGCUUCAGUGCCGAAGGGAAGCUGUUAAGUCCGCCGCCUGGAAGUACGGUCGCAAGACUGAAACUUAAAGGAAUU
rnacentral:rRNA from 1 species